GAAGGGGGAGAGGGAUGCUUAGCUCUAUUCCUGGGCCUUAACAGAGCCUCAUAGAGGCCAGAUGGGCCAACCAAGAAGGCAGUGUUGUCUUCAAGGUGGGUGAAGGUGUGGAUGGAAGAGGAGCAGAGGAGACAUAGCAGGAGCAAAACAAGGAGAGCACGUUGCUUCCUCCCAGCCCCUGGCAGUGAGACUUGCUCGUGAGGUGGGAGAGGCCCCUGAUGGUGCACGGUGUGCUCAGGACUCUGGGGAGGGAUCCUCUCUGCUAUAAGGAACAGAAGAGCCUACAACUGGCUUUGACAGUCAGGACCUCCACUACAUCACAUUACAAAAGUUGGGUGUAGAUUGAAGGUCUGUGGCAACCCUGCAUAGAACAAGCCUGUUGGCACCAUUUUUCUAACAGCAUUUUAUCACUUUGUAUCUCUGUGUCCCAUUUUGGUAAUUCCCCAGAUAUUUUGAGCUUUUUCAUUAUUAUUAUUAUAUUCACUAUGAUUGCAAUCAGUGAUCUUGGGCGUUACGACCAUAACUGUUUUGGGGCACCACGAACUGCUCCCAUACAAGACAGCACACUUAGUGAGAUAUUGAAAUGACAACAAAGAAUUUAAAAUAUGACAUAGACUUAGUUGAUAAAUCAAUGGAUGAGUUUGAGAGGACUGGCUCCAGUUUUGAAAGAACCUCUGCUAUGGGUAAAAGUCUUCAAGGAGCGUUGCCUGCUACAGAGAACUUGUUCGUGAAAGGAAGAGUCAAUCAGUGCAGCAAACUUCUAUGCUGUCUUGUUGGAAAAAAUGGUCACAGGCACCCCAACCUUCAGCCGCCAGUACCAUGGUCAGUGAGCUGCACCAGCAAAAAGGAUUAUGACUUGCUGAAGACUCAGAUGAUAGUUAGCACUUUUUAGCAAUAAAGCAUUUCUAAACUGAGACAUGUACCCUUUUUGACAUAAUACUAC